rnacentral:misc_RNA from 1 species
GAAUGUCGCAUUGAUAUGAAGAACUUGAUUGGGGAGGCAAAUUGCAGGAUUUGUCAAGAGAGCUUCAGCACCACUGUUACAGCACUGACAGAGGCCAUUGACAUAUACAGUGAAUGGAUUGACGAGUGCGAACGUGUGAACAACCUUGAAGACGAUGAUGGUUCUUAGGUUCUAGUGAGUCUGCUUUAGUUGUGUAGUCAGUAGCCUGAAGAUGAUCUAAAGCCGACUUUAGCUUUGAUGUUAGUUCUGUUGAUAUUUCUCUGUUUCAUUACUAAAGUUGUACUUGAAGUUGCAAAAGCCUCUUGGGUUUGAUAAAUAAGCUCCAUGUGUGACAGGC